AGUCUGGUCUGCGAAGAUGUAACUCUGUGCUUGGCUUUCUCAGGCUUUCCCCUGGGUUUCUGUUUGACCUAAAAACCUAUAAUGCUGAAACCCACCCCCAGUGGGUGGUUCUUACAUUCAACUCAACAGAGGAAAUGACCAGGCCGAAAGGAACAGGAGGAGGCUCUGUUGUGCUGAUAGCAAUCUGAGCUGUUACACUGAAGAGACAUCCAGUUGGUGGACCACAAUGGGCUCUGACUUCCUACUUAAAUAUCCUGAUGUUUAUAGUGGCCUGCCAGGCCACCUGAAUAGAAUGUCGUCUUUAAAACAACUCCCCAGUCUUAUCUGCUUGCCGGCACCCUGUUUCUGAUCAUUUUAUACUAAGUCACAAAGAGAGAUAUUUUGUCUACACAGUGUUGGGCUCACUGAAAACUGUUUGCCUACCUGAAUUUAGAGUCUGGAUGCUCUCAAAAGAAAUUAAGAAACGAAGUCACCUUGGAUUCAUGCAAUUGUCAAGUUUGAGUUAAAAGUAAACUGUCACCAAAAGCCACCUUCUGUCCUGAGAGAUACAUGGUAAGAAGCAACUCCUCCAAGAAACACACCAACCAAACGUCCCCCCAGAAUUUACCAGAGAAAUUGGAAAUGCUAGAGCGCUCACCUUGCUUUCUGGCAGCUGUCUUUUUGAUGCAAUGACUUCACAAACCAACACAUCUAUACCGGUUAGGAUGAUGCUUACUAACUUUGAACCAUGAAAAAUAAAAAGUUGAACAUUUUA